rnacentral:rRNA from 1 species
GACGAACGCUGGCGGCGUGCUUAACACAUGCAAGUCGAACGAAGAGCGAUGGAAGCUUGCUUCUAUCAAUCUUAGUGGCGAACGGGUGAGUAACGCGUAAUCAACCUGCCCUUCAGAGGGGGACAACAGUUGGAAACGACUGCUAAUACCGCAUACGAUCUAAUCUCGGCAUCGAGGAUAGAUGAAAGGUGGCCUCUACAUGUAAGCUAUCACUGAAGGAAGGGAUUGCGUCUGAUUAGCUAGUUGGAGGGGUAACGGCCCACCAAGGCGAUGAUCAGUAGCCGGUCUGAGAGGAUGAACGGCCACAUUGGGACUGAGACACGGCCCAGACUCCUACGGGAGGCAGCAGUGGGGAAUCUUCCGCAAUGGACGAAAGUCUGACGGAGCAACGCCGCGUGAGCGAUGACGGCCUUCGGGUUGUAAAGCUCUGUUAAUCGGGACGAAAGGCCUUCUUGCGAAUAGUGAGAAGGAUUGACGGUACCGGAAUAGAAAGCCACGGCUAACUACGUG